UAGAGGUAGACCUUUGUGUGAUGCUGCAUGCUGAGAGAGAACUCUGGCAAGAGCAUCUUCCAUCUUCAGGUGUGGUGCGUGCAGGAGGUGGAAGGGUAAAGAAGCCUUGUGGAGGUCACUGGAGAGGAACUGGAUCUCAGUCAGCUCUGGCAAGACUCCUGUGGCCAGUGUCAUGGUCUCUGCUACUCCAUCUGCCGAGGUUCUGAUGCUGCUUCUUCAGCUGUGUUACCAGGGAGCCCCAGGGAGCCUCUGCACCCCAUCAGCAGGGCUGCUGUGUCACAGUGCUCAGUGUCCCUCUGCUGACUCACAACUACCCUUGCAAAAACUGUUCCUCUAAGAACAAAUCCUAAGGAGAAAAUGUUUGAGUUUCUUUUUUGUUGAUUUGGGUUGUUUUUUGGUUUUUUUUACCCAAGCCAAAUAGUCCCAACAGUGGACCCUGGUCAGAGUGAAGUUCCAGAAAGGAGCAUUUGGAAUGGUAUCCCUUACAAAGCCAUCAUGACAGUGGAAUCAUGGAACCAUUAGUUUGAGAAAAAACCUCAAGACCACCAAAUUCAGCCAUUAACCCAGCACUGCCAAGUCCAGCUCUAAAGCAUGUCCCUAAGUGCCAUGUCUGCAUGUCUUUUGAAUACCUCCAGGGGUAGUAAUGUCAUUGCAUGGCCAACUGAAACACCACCUGAAAUACUUCUUCACUGACUGUUAACUCUGCUAGUCACUGAUGUGUACUAUAAGGAAUAUGAGUUUCUGUGAUUAUGAUUAAAUUGAUUUUUACUUGUCAAUAUUCUGGUAGUCUCUGAAAUCUCAUAUUCUAAUUAUAUGCUUGAUAAAGUGGUGGGUUUCUUUUCUCUGCUUUGGACUUUUGACAUGUUUUAAGAGGAAAUGCAUCACCAAGAUUUACCAUGCUGAAGCCUUGAAGGACCAAAUACUAUUUGUGGGAUGUGCAAUUAUGGUAUUACCAGAAGAGAUACCAUUUAAGGUUUUCCACAUAUUACUAAAAGUCUUAUCAACAAAACAUUUUGUCAUUGGACAAGCAAGCACCUUAGCCUUUCUGACAGCUCUUGUUCGAGAAUGCCAUUAUAAAUUUAAGAUAUUGUAGUACAACCUCUUGUUUUUAACCUAAAAGCAACAAGAGGUUGCAAGAAAAAAGCUGUAAGCUCCACAGACUGAUGCCUUUCAUUAUCAGGAAAAGCUGACGUUAGUGUGAAUUCUUAAUUAAUACUUCAAGUCAUCUUGGAGCAUUCCAUAGUGUUUCACCCAUUUUAUUUGUAACCUCUAAUCCUGAUCAGUCAAUGAUCAGAUAUAUGAAUUAUAAAUUCAUAUAUUCAGAUAUAUGAAUUUCAGCCAAGGCAUCUUCACCAAAAGGCCAUUUAAUAAUUUUACUCUAUUAAAUAUAAUUUUAUGAAAAGGAAACACUGCCUAUAGCACACUUCCAUGUAAACAAAGCCCUAAUAAACUGGAGAGAAGGAGAACA
rnacentral:lncRNA from 1 species